rnacentral:rRNA from 1 species
CCUACGGGGUGCAGCAGUGGGGAAUAUUGGACAAUGGGGGGAACCCUGAUCCAGCCAUGCCGCGUGUGUGAAGAAGGCCCUCGGGUUGUAAAGCACUUUCAGUGAGGAAGAACGCCUGGUGGUUAAUACCCAUCAGGAAAGACAUCACUCACAGAAGAAGCACCGGCUAACUCCGGGCCAGCAGCCGCGGUAAUACGGAGGGUGCGAGCGUUAAUCGGAAUUACUGGGCGUAAAGCGCGCGUAGGUGGCUUGAUAAGCCGGUUGUGAAAGCCCCGGGCUCAACCUGGGAACGGCAUCCGGAACUGUCAAGCUAGAGUGCAGGAGAGGAAGGUAGAAUUCCCGGUGUAGCGGCGAAAUGCGUAGAGAUCGGGAGGAAUACCAGUGGCGAAGGCGGCCUUCUGGACUGACACUGACACUGAGGUGCGAAAGCGUGGGUAGCAAACAGGAUUAGAUACCCCAGGAGUC